rnacentral:lncRNA from 1 species
UCAUAAAUCAGUUUGCACUAUUGAUGCUUAGAAACUGCUCCACUUGGUCAUGCUUGUCCAAGAAUCAGAACAAAAGAAAAUGAAGACAGAUUGUAAUAGCCUCUUGGAAAAUGUCAAUUAAGGAGGCAAAGCAGUCCAACCCUCUGCCCACCCUGAUGUUCUUCCCAUGGCAGGCAUUUCUUUCUUUCCUCUAACACCUAUUCUCAGUCAUCCUUGAUUGCAUGUUCAUCAACCUAGGGUAAGUUCCCACCUAACUUAACAUCCUUGCAGGAUAGAGAUAUGGGUCAUGCAUGAUCAGAGUGCAUCAUAAGCAAAUACAAAGAAGAAAAAUAAUUAGACCUGAUCUUAAAAAACAUUCGUUGUUUCAUGGAUUAAUAGAACAUUAGUUUGACCGUAUGCUUUCUGUCUUGCUACCAUUAAAAGUGGUCAUUUGUGCUGAAUGGAACCGGCAGUUACAUCAUCAUUUUUGCUGUACAUACUGUUACAGAACAUAGAAGGCAAAGAGAGUUCUUGCAUGGAGAGGUCUUUCAUCAUUGAUCUUCCAAAUAAGUCCUAUGGUCUUAAAAAUUGGUAUCAUAUAUGGAAAAAGUAUAUUUCUAUUUAUAGCACCUUCAGAUUGUAUCUAGUCUAUGCUGCUCCUGGUAUGGCUCAGUUUUUGGAGUUACUGAUUGCCCCGGGAAUCUUGUUGGUCCAUAAUGACAAUAUGCAAAAUCUCUUAGUUGAGAAUGGUAUAAUUCUCUUCUAUAUAAACUUUCAAGUUCUUUUCUGACAACUCAUACUUAACUUCAAGCAUUAGGCAGAUUGAUUUGCUAACGUGGUAUGUAAUAACCUCUUUGGAGUGCUAGUCUGAGCAAACUUGAGGUGCCUCUUGAUUUGGUUAUUCCAAUGUAAAGGGUGCUUGUUCUGAGUGCUGUUAUUGCAUCAAGAGUAAACAGUUCUUUGUUCAAGAAAGUAAAUUAUGGGUAAAAGGGGAACUAUUUUUGAAGAUGAAGAUUUCAAAAUAAACAUCAAUGGGGCCUCUUCGCAUGUCAAAUUAUUCCAUUGCUGCCAUCUUUUCGUAUUUUUCAUUUUCGAUGUAGACUCACCGAAUAACCUGCACUAUAGCUAAUUUCUUUCUAGCAUAAUUGACAAAAUACGUUCUUUUGAACUGUCUGUCUCAGUUUUGCUAUUCCUUGUGUUCAUAUUUUAAUUUAAAUACUCAAUAGACUUCCAAUCUUUUUUCUUGUAUAAUACUUAUUCCAUCAAUGGUAAUAUUGCUAUCAAGGUUUUAAAUCCCGUGAGACGAAGAUGUCCUGAUUUCUCUAUGGUAUGGGAUGCCUCGUUAUCUCAUCCCGUCUCGAGAGCAGUUCCAAUCAUAUAUCUUGAUAGAUAUCCUCUAUCAUUCUCCUCUUUUUCUUUUCAUUCUUUCUUUUUACUUCAUUCUUUUCUUUUUUUUCUACCUUUCUUUCUUUUUUCUUUUCAUUUUCUUCUCCCUCUCUUUCUUUCUUUCUUUUUUUUAUUUUUCUUCUUCUUUCCUUUCAUUUUUUUUUCAUUUUCUUCAUCUUUCCUGCCUUUCCUUCUUUCUUCUUGCUUCUUUUCUCUCCAUGUGGAUGGGUUUUAAGGUUGCGAACCUAUCUCGAUCUUAUUUUCUUAUAGGAAUAGGAUAGGACAGCUGAGACAACCCCUAUCCCAUCAGGAUUUAAAACGUUGGUUGCUACAAAUAUGUUCAAUUUUUUUAAAAAAACCUAAUACAGUUGUUGCUGGGUUUUAGGGGAUGAGUUCAUUCAGCAUUGGAACUAAUAAGUUUGUGAUGAAUUGAUCCUUAAUACUAGCUACUCUUGUCUUUUUUCCUUUAGAUUGCUGUCUCGCAAAUCUUAGGCAUAGCUCCCAGAGUCAAAGGUUUUGUAUUGGAAUAAUAAGAUUUUAUAUUGCUAAAUAGAAUUUAAGGAUACAAAAUAGAGAGUUCUCUAAGAUCUUUUAGAUUAAAAUGCUUGCCUGACGCUUUGAAAUCCCAUAUACCAUCUUCUUGUCAGACAGCUCGCAUAAAACACAUUCUGAUCCUAAAGAUGCCAGUUCUUAUUACAUUCAACUAUUUUACACAAAUAUCACACACAACCUCUUUCUUAUGCAACGCUGAAGGAAUUGGCUGUGCUCUCCACAAACUUCCUGGCACCCUUGAACCAUCUCUUGUCACCAGCUUGUGCCUUGCAGAUGUAUAGCUUACCAUCUGAAACUGUUGCCGUUAUAAGCUGCUGCUUCCCACCCUCGUCUCCAUCUGCUGUCCUUGUCAAAACUGAGAUGUAGUAGUAUUGUUUCCCACCUACCACUGGUGUGAAGCUUUCCAAUAUGUUGGCUGUUGCUACAGCAUCCUGGUCGAACCCACCCUACAAGACAAAAUCUUUUAAUUUGAUAAUGUUUCCUUUAAUUAUCAUGCAUAUGUUGUUAGUCAUGUAAGUAUCAAAAGAUGCAAAACCUAAUAUUGAUAAAUAUUAAUCAAUUUGGUAUGGUUUUGACCGACCUCAGAAUCUGUUUUGCUGGCGUAAGCCUGUUUCCCUAGCAAGUAAUCAACCUGCACAUAAAAGUACUGGAACUUUGAGUCCUGGAUUCUGUUUUCUGAACUUUUGCCCGUAAACUUGGUCUGCAGCCUUGCCCAGUUACCAAACUCUUGCUUUUUCUUUCUUGAGCAAGUAUCUCUUUUUCUUUUUUCAUUUUCUUUUCUUUUCUUCUUUUUUUUUUUGAACUUCAGCAACUCGUGUAGAGACCCCAGGGCCACAUGUGGCAGAAUUUUACUGAUAAUUGUUUCUUACCAUGUAUAUGGAGAAACCCGACUAAUAACCUUUCUUAAACCCAAUACUUUUUAACUAGAACUUUAUUUGAUUAAUCUCAUGGAAUGUGGGAGGAGAAAAUCUUGAGAUAGAUAUGUCAAAGAUUUCAGAAGAAUUGGGUGAAACAUGAAUUCACCAAAGGAAAAGCAUGUGUGGCACUUAUCGAGGACAAAGCACUGGAGAGCCAAGUUACACUAUAAGAGAAAGUGUGAUAAAAAUUUGAGUAUGUUUAAGGGUUGAAGGUUUAGCAAAUUGAAUGGAAUCGCUCAAGGAAUGUUGAUGGAAUGUGUGAGAAAAGAUGUGGAAAACUUGCUGUGGCAGCAGAUGCAGACUUUAAUUGGAACAGGCGGCAAAGGAUUAAGAUAUAUCCCGCACCAAAUAGCUUCAGAAAAUGUUUGCUGGUUGGGACUCGUGGUUCUCACUUUUACCAGCUAAGAAGCAUUAAAAAUUUGGCAUGAGGCAUACACAUAACAGCAGGAUAACUUGUUAUCACUGUUCCUGAUGAUUUAUUUUUAUCAUGUUGAGUAUGACCUGGUUCAGAUUAUCUUGCAUAAAAAUUCAUAUGCUUGAGACUUUGCUAGUGCAUCAAGGACCAAUAUACAGUGGAAAUGUAAUUACUUUGGGAAAGAAAUUCCUCAGGGCUGCCAUAGUCAGUGAUGGAUUUCUUUGAUGUGGGGGUGACCAUGACGGAAACGUUGCUGUUGGAGUCGAAGUUGUCUUCAUACCUCAUCACCUGACCAGGAUACUCCACCUCUUUGCUUGGGUUCCACUUUGAUGGUACCAUCAGCUUGAACCCAUCGCCAGUGUAUGGCAAGAAAUCUGUAUUUGUCUUUGGCUUCCCAAAGAUAUUAGCGGCACUGAAAAAAAAUAAUCUUAGGCAUUUGGCUAGUGAAAUUGAUUUUUUUAAAUUUUUGUAUGCAAAUUAGCUAACUACCUAUUAUUUCUUAAUAUUUCGGUCAUUGUGUAUUAUAGAUAUCCAUCUUUUCUGUUCAACUUCCUAUGUAAUUGUACACAUACUGACAGCUAGGACCAUCACAAGCUCAACUUAAAUGAACUGACAAUUUUUCUCCUCCUGUUGAGUUCAUUGCUUGUAAUUUUGUUGCAGAGAAUCGAAGGAAAGAUUACCUGCUUCACCAUAGGCAGCAUCGGCAGGUGAGACCUUCACACUAACGGCAGC